GGAGGUUUCCGCGCAGUGAUCCGUCUUCCUCCGUCGGGAUCUCUGCAGCCUUUGCUCCGCCGACACGUCGAUCGGGAUACUCUGCCUGGAAACACCGCAAACUAAUCGGAACCGGCGGCCGACGGAGACGGACGGGUCCCGCAGGCUACGUGGGUGUCGAUUAGAACUGUCCCAGCUGUUCGAGAGCUGGUGGCUCACGCAUCUGAGUCUGGACUGUCUGGAGCCGCUCGCUGAGGCUCUGAACAACACUAGUCAACUGACCAAUUGAGAAGGUGGGACUCUUUGAUGACUGAAGAUGGGAAAUGAUCAGAGCCAUGAGAGGAAGGCUGAGGAGACAGAAGAGGAAACCAAAAACCAGGAGGAGUCUGACCAAACCAAACACUCAGCUUCUGAAGAGACACCAGGAGAGCUGCCCCAGUGCAAGAUGGGAAACAGGAGGGUGGACAACAUGUGUUUCAUGAUCUCGUGCACUAACUGGUACUAAACUGGUCCUGGGAUUGGGUUGAUGAUGGAACAGAAGCAAACUGUGGACGACUUGUUCCCCUGCUGCUCUGAGGAGAACCUGGUGCAGAAAUGUUUCCUGCAGUGCCGAGACAAACGUCACUUUCCUCAAAUUCAAAAGAAAGACGAAGGCACGAGAAAGGAGUUCAAACAAUGGGUCACAAGAUUCAUGGACUGCGUGUGAGAGACAUGGAUUUCUUGUUAUGCCAAUAAAGACUGAGCAAAAGUAAAAAAAAAGUGUUACCCAUCAUGCUUUGUGGGUUAGGACAUCUGUGUUAAAUUGAUCAAAGUGAAGAGAGCUAAAUGCUUUCAUCGGAAAUUAAUUUUUUUACUGAUGUUAAUCGAACGCCGGGGAUGUCUCUUGGUAUUAUUUGGGAGUCAUUAAAGGCCAGUUUGAGGGGUCAAACCAUCUCUUACUGUGCAAAUAAAAAGAAGAAAAACAUGGAACGGCUAACACAACUGACAGAUGAGAUUUUACAGUUAGACAGAGAAUACAGCCGCUCUGGUUCACAAGACCUACUGAAGAAACGUCUGUUUCUCUAAACUGAAUUUAAUAUUUUGUCUACCCAGCAGGUGGAGUAUUUAAUAUCCAAAUCUAGGUAUGGUCACUACGAACAUGGUGAAAAGGCUGGGCGAUUACUUGCUCAACAGUUACGGCAGCGUUCAGCUGGUCAGUAUAUUUCUGCAAUAAAUGAUGACCAAGGUGUAAAACGCUGUGAUAAUGCUGGAAUUAAUUUAUGUUUCAGUAAAUUUUACCAAUCACUGUAUACAUCUGAGGCAUCAUUUAACCCAGCCGAGCUAGAGGAUUCUUUUUUUUAAGAAUGUUAAAAUCCCAUCAGUAAGUUCAGACCUGUUUAAUGAACUGGAGAAAGAUCUUUCUCUAGAGGAGAUAAACUCUGCAAUUAAAGAUAUGCAAAAUGGAAAGUCUUCAGGCCCGGAUGGCUUCCCGAUUGAAUUUUUAAAGAAAUUUUCUGAUCUGCUUUCUCCUCUAUUAUUAUCAGUUUUUGAAGAAUCAUUGAGCAUGCAAUCAUUACCACUGUCUAUGCGUCAAGCUGUAAUUUCUUUCCUAUUAAAGAGGGAGAAAGAUCCCUUAAACUGCAGUUCAUAUCGCCCGGUUUCACUAUUGAAUUCAGACUCAAAAAUCCUUAGUAAAGUGUUGGCGAAGCGACUUGAACAGGUUAUGCCCACAAUUGCUUCAUCUGACCAGACAGGAUUAGUUAAAUCCUGUCUUUAUCAGGUGGCUGUUUAAUGUGUUAUAUACUGCCACCCCGCCUGGCCAUAACUGUGAUGAGGUCAUACUUUCGUUAGAUGCUGAGAAAGUGUUUGGCCGGGUGGAGUGGAAUUGACUUUUUAAGACUUUAGAGACUUUUAAUUUUGGUCCUAAAUUUAUAUCAUGGGUGAAGUUGAUAUAUACUUUGCCAAUAGUGGCUGUACGCACUAAUUGCAAUUUAUCCAGCUAUUUUGAAUUGACGUGGUACGAGGCAGGGGUGCCCACUUUCCCCACUUUUAUUCGCACUUGCGAUUGAACCGCUUGCUGUAGCGUUGUGGCAAAGUCAGGUGAUUAAAGGUAUAAUUCGGUUCAGCACUGAACAUAAAGUUUCAUUAUAUGCUGACAAUGCGCUUGUGUAUAUUUCAGACUCUUCUUCUAGUCUUCCUGAGUUACUUAUUUUACUUCAAAAAUUUGGGAGAAUAUCUGGUUAUAAGAUUAAUCUUCAAAAAAGCGAGCUGAUGCCUGUGACAUCUAUAGAAGGGAAGCCUAUGGGCACUGUUCCUUUUAAAAUUAGUUCUAAAAAAUUUAAAUAUCUAGGUUUCUGGAUAACUUGAUCCUAUAAGGUCCUUUAUAAGGUGAAUUAUCUACCACUAUUGGUGAAUCUUAGGCAGGACAUUGCUAGGUGGGAAUCCCUACCUCUCUCCUUUGCAUUCAAUCAAAAUGACUAUACUGCCUAAAUUUCUUUAUCUAUUUCAGAGUUCCUUACUAAGUCUUUCUUUUCUAAUUUGGACAGCGAAUUAUCAGCAUUUGUUUGGAAUAAAAAGCAUCCACGGAUUGGGAGGAAGAUGCUGCAAUUACCUCAUAGUCUUGGAGGCAUGUCAUCCCCUAACUUCAUGUACUAUUAUUGGGCGGCUAACAUUAGAACCAUAUUAUAUUGGUUAAAAAAGGAAACUCCUGUUACAAGUUGGGUGGCCUUGGAAAGAGGCUCAAUUGUAUCUAGUUCUGUCUCUGCUUUACUCUGCUCCAAGUUACCUUUUAAUCAACCAGUCUCAACAUAUACUUCUAAUCCAGUGGUAAUUGACACAGUAAAAAUCUGGAAUCAGUGUAGAAGAUCAUUCAGAAGUACAGAGUUAUUAUUGGCAGCCCCUGUGUCAAAUACUCACGUUUAUUCCUUCAUUAACAGAUUCAGCUUUUAAUACCUGGGCUCUAAUAGGAAUACAUUUAUUAUAUGAUCUAUAUGUAGAUAAUAGGUUUGCUUCAUUUGAACAGUUGGUACAGAAAUUUGACAUUAAUAAAUCAUAGUUUUUCAGAUAUUUGCAAUUGAGACAUUUUGUAAUGUCCAACUCUGAGUGCUUUCCUCUACGCCCUUCUACCUCUGUUGUUGAAAAGAUUCUGGAGUGUAAGUCUGACACAAAACGAUCCAUGAGUACAGUUUAUACACUGCUUAAUUCAUACCAUGAUACCAAUUUGGAUUCUCUGAAAUACAGGUGGGAGAUGGAGGAAUCCAUAUCAGAUUCAGACUGGCAAAA